ACAUCGAAUCAGCAGUUUGUUUUGCGUCGAGACUAAAAUAGGACUACAAAGAAAUCAAUCAAAGUGUUUCAAAAAUAAAUUAAUUUGUAUAAAAAAUUGCUAAAUUAUUUAAAUUUAGACAAGAGGUCAGUGUUGAUGAUGAGGAAACCUCACAAUAUUUAUAUAAACUAAUAUCUCCAUAUUUAAAUUAAAUGGAAAUUUGAAAGUAAGAAAAAAUUGAGAUGCUUCAACAGCCACCCAGCAACCGGAAACUCAAUUCAGCAAUGCCAAUAUUUGUAGAGGACGAGAUCAAGCGUGUGUGCUUCUAAUACAGAUAUGUGCAACCGCAUGGCAAUACCAGAAUGUGCGGUCAGAGCUUCAAAAGCGUCGACAAAGCACAAGAAAAGUUUCGGCAUUGCAUGUGUGUGCGAAAAUAGCUGAAGCAAGGAAGUGUUGGGUCACAUGACGAUCUUGCAAUAUCAGUUUGCGCACAGCACCGUUUCAGGAACAACAACGGAUUUUGGAAAUCGAAAAUCGAUUAAAUUCACUAAACCACCAAAAAUUAAAAAAAAAGUAACUUCAUCGAUGCACUCUUGUUGAGUUAAUCUACGUCGAAAGUUGUAAAAAAUAGUCGCGCGAAAAUGAUCUCUACCAUUUAAUUGAAUUUUUUGGCCGAGAUAAAAAUUUUUAGUUACUGUAAACAACACAAAUAGCGCACGUAUGUCGAAACGUUCUAAGCAUGUAUGACAUCGAAAAUGUCAAACUUUACGAUAAAGUUGUGAAUUGCCAGAUUGCAACACUAGGGUAGCCAAAUCCCGAAAUAUGAAAAACAACCUCCGUACUGCCGACAUGCGUUUUCUGAUAUUGAAAUGAUGAAAUUUGUAACAAAAUAAAGCGAAUUAUAACUGCAUGAAAUGUAUAUGUAUUUGGUGUGAGAUUAAAGUUUGUACAAAGAUAUGAAAAGCCGUGGGACUAGCCUUGCAGAGAAAAUCUAAAAGAACGGAAAGCAGAAAGAAAGAAACAAGUCUGUUCACUUCUGCCGGCUGAUUUUUCAGAUCCACAGUGCGCAGUUGUUUUGCAAAGGAAGUACGAAGUACCUUUUCCUCGACACAGAGAUAGACAAUAUGGAAACCGUUUAAGAGAGUAUCGCAGAGUUUUCAGAAAUUUUAACAUAAUGCAGCAAGCUUGGUGAAAGUGCAAGUAAUGAUGCAAAUAUUAUAGAUAUACAAACAAUAAAAUAAUAGUUUGAGCUAACCAGGGCACAAUAAUCCAUAAUUGGGAUUUUUGAUAUAUGUAUGUACUUAAUGCUACCAUAAGUUUUGUUACUAGUUAAGGCCAUACUAAAAAUGAAACUAUAAUGCAUUUUUUAAUACAGUUAAAUUUAUUUAAUAAUGCAUACUAUAUUAAAUGAGCGAUGUUUUAAAGUGAAAGAUUUCUUUGCCUUUUCGCACCGCUUUUGUCACACAUACAAAAACCAGUGUUUUCAUUGAGUUUUCAGUUUGUUUUUCUU